CAAGAAUAGAGCUGAGAGAUAGGAAGUGAGACUGAAUCAUCAGGGAGUGAAAUCAAGGGCCUUGCCACAUUUACAUCCCUAGAUCCAGUCAUGCCUAAAGUGAGGCUUUCAGUUACAUGUGAGAAAGAGCUCUAGCAUAUAUUCUCUGUUCUCUCUGACUAUAGAAGAUCAGUCACAUGACAAAUUUUAUUUCACAAAGCUGCUGGAGGCCUGAGCUAUAGGUCUGCAUACAGGUAAGAGGCCCCCCGAUGAAGACUGAGAGGAAAGAUCCAUAGAUACAUGGGUGAAACAAGGUCAAUAAAAGGCAUUCUGCCUCCACUGAGAUACAACAGUCAUAUGCCACCUGACAGUCAAGAGAAGCAACUUUGAGGAAAAAUAUCAACCAACACAGUUUCCUUCUCCUCCAAGCAUGUCUCGGGAUAUGUCCCCUCCACUCUAACCACUGAUGGUAACUGAAGAAGCA
rnacentral:lncRNA from 10 species